GGGGUUGUAGCUCAGUGGUAGAGUGCUUGCCUUGCAUGCAUGAGGUCCUGGGUUCAAUCCUCAGCACCA
rnacentral:tRNA from 1 species